UGCCAGCCGCCGCGGUAAUACGGAGGGUGCAAGCGUUGUCCGGAAUUAUUGGGUUUAAAGGGUGCGCAGGUGGCUUUAUAAGUCAGAGGUUAAAGACCGGGGCUCAACUCCGUGUUUGCCUUUGGUACUGUAAGGCUUGAAACACGUAUGGGUAGGCGGAAUUCCUCAUGUAGCGGUGAAACGCACAGAUAUGAGGAGGAAGACCGAAGGCGAAGGCAGCUUACUGGGCGUUAUUUGACACUGAGGCACGAAAGCGUGGGGAGCGAACAGGAUUAGAUA
rnacentral:rRNA from 1 species